CCGUGUGGUGACGGCGGGUGCCAGGCGGGGCGCGGCGGUGGGAACGUGCCCCUUCCACCCGGCCGCCGCCUAGAAAAGUCCGAGCAACUUCGGAGCUGGGGCGAGGCCGUGAGCGGGCGGGCAGCAGUGCGGGGCUGUAGCAGAUGGCUGGGAGGGAAGCGCCUGCCUCCCGCACAGCAGAACGUCCGGACUGGCUGGGAAGAGCCGGAACGCGCUUUCGGCGAACAGCUGCCGCUGACAGAGACCGUGCAGACGAGAACCCAAAAUGUAGCAUCCGAAAUUAGCCUGUUUGUCUCCGUCUGCAAGCAUAGCGCUGGGCUCAAUGAAGAGAAUGUGGAUUGAUCAAAAAUAACGCUCUCCAUGUCUGUUUUCCUCCAUCUUCAUAACAAGAAUAAGACUUUCCCAGCAGUGUGGUGGUGAAGCUCAUGAUCAGCUGAAAUAUUUGAGUGCCUCAGAGAGAAUGUGGUGGUGAUGUGUGCUCUAGUUCCAUUUCAUGAUCUACUUGCCGCUUUUAACAUAGGAGUUGAAAAUUGCCAUGGGAAGAUUAUUUCUGAACUUGAUCAACUAAAGGGUUAAGAUCCUCUCCUGACAUUCAAGAAGGUGGUCCUGUUGCUUGCUCGUAGGCUGUGAAGUGUUGAUGUUUCUCUUCUAGCAAGCAAAAACCUGUCCUUCACUUCCAUGGAGCUGAACGAACAAAGAUCUCUUCACUUCUUGUUUCAACCAUCUCACCCAACAUUCGAUUCACCAGAUGACUUCUCCCACAGAAGUACCCCAUCAUUUUAUCACAACUCAAAAGCAGAGUAACAGAAAUCAGCAGUUGUUUCCCUGAAGAAAUGUCCUCUGUGCAAGCUCUUCAGCCAGCUCUUGGCAUUGUUUUAAAAUAAGAAAUAUUUUGUAAUCAGGUUCAAGUGGAAGCUAGUAUUCACUGAUACCUCCUUCUUCAUUUUAGGAAGGUUAAGUACUUCACUGUGUCACACUGGAAGUCCUAGCAGAUAAAGUGUCUGCAAGCAUUGCUGUGUCAAGCUGUCUUGAUAUACUUAAAAAAAUGCAGUAGGAAAAACGGAACGUAUUUUCUGCUCUGACAUGAGGAAGAAACUUACCAAGCAAUUGGAGAUGUCCCAUACAGGUAUUUUCUAGUCGAGGACCCAGGCUUGACUUUGGAGAUAGAUGUCUUUGAUGUCAACUUGCAUAAAGCAGCUAGUGCGGAGGAGCAAAUGCAGAAUUACCUUGUCUAUAGUGUGUAAAUGCAUCGACCAAGGCUGUGAUCAAAACGUAUAUUUGCCUGUCUAAACCUGAUGUAGGUGCUGGAUAUGAAGAGCUUUCAUCAGAAUAAGAAAUCACUCUGCAGCAUUUAAUUUUUGGCAAAGAAAAGUGAAGCUUUAAAGGCCUCUGGGGUAACAAAAUGAUGAUUAGGUUUAUGUUAAAUCAUUCUCCCCUCUGUCUUUUCAUGACUCCUUAGCUGCAAAAGGAAGAAACCCAGGAACAUGUGGUAGAAGAGAUGGGGCAGAACUUCUUUCUUUAUUAAAGAAAUUAACUUCUGGUGGGAUAGAAGAGACCAGAGAGGUAAAGUUGCAGUUUAUCCACUUGACUUCCUUGGCACAGUUUGAGUUUUCAACACUGCUGAUGGAAUCAGUUUUUUGAUUCUUCUGUGACUGAGAACUGAUGUGACCUGUGUGUUACCAUCUUUAAGGUAGAAACAGGCCCAAGAGAACAGGCUGUUAGCACGUAAGAGGGGUGAUUUGAGAGAGAAAAAAUACUUAGGACGGGCCUUUUUUGGUUCCUCUUAUUCUUCCCCAAACUAAGACGCAGUCUGUUGUUCUUAUGUUUACACAAGGUUCUUUGUCUCCAUUGCUUGUGAUUAUAUAGGAUGUUUUCUGUCAUUCUGAGAUGGGAGUGUACGUUGGUUAUGUGCUCCCUGCUGUCGUAUUAUAUAUGGGAAGUAAGAUUUCUUGGCAAAAAACCCCACGACUGGGAUAUGUAUUCUGUUCCACUUCAAAUCUGAAGCUCUUCUUAGUGCACCUUAUUCCGAGCUUGUGAUUUAGCAAAUGUGACUUACUAGCUUAAAGUAGUAUUUUUAAAUCUGGAUCAAAUAAAGGUAUAUAAAUUCUGUUAAUAGGUUUUGGGAGAUGGUAGAAUCAUUGGGGGUGGGGGUGGUGUCUUAGAUUUCUUCUUUUCUUCUGUGUUUCCUUUUAGAAAACUGCUGGAGAGAGUCAGACAGCCUGAAAAUGGCUGACAAAGACAACAACUGAAAUCCUUAAAUCUUAAUGAUUGAUUGCAAGGGCAGUAUUCUGAUACUUAAAAUGCAGUCACGUUUUAUGGGACCAAGUUCCAUUGCAGAGUAAGGGCAAGUGUUGAUGUUGAUCCUCCUUUUCAGAGUUAAGUCUGUGUUUAGAGUUGCAUUCUAACAAUACAAUUUAAUGACAGCUUUCCCAUUUGUUGUUUCCAUGAAGAAAAGAGCAGACAUGAAAGUGGUGGGCAAGACACCGCCUAUCAAAGUAAUUCCAACUGUAGUGAGCACUAAAAUUUUGUGUAACAUUGCAAUGAGCUGUUUGAUCAUAGUCAUGUUGAUCUUGAUGAGGCAACCACGAGCUUGCUGACUGCUUUUAAAAACAUAGGAUUGCUAAAUAUGGUCUGAAUUUUCUGCCAUCGGAGGCUACCAGAAAAGCACACUUCCUUUUAAGGCCUCCUUAGGUUGAAACUAAUGGGAUUUAAAGUAGAUGUCUGUAGAAGCAGGAUCCAUCUCUAAGUGAUGGAAAAUACUGUCAAUAUUGUAGGAUUGAUUGGAAGUGGUUGGUUGGUAUCUGGUGUAAGAAACAGCUGAUUUUUAGGUUUGGGAAUUUCCUUUUCUUCCUUCUGGUGUUAGGGCUAGCAGUUGUUUCUUGCGUAGCUUGAUGGCAAAAUAAUUGGGGGACACGAAGGUAUUUUUGUUUCCUGUGAACACGUACAAAAACAAAGCACUUGUCUGACUGGAGAGUAGCCACUUUAAGCUGUUUGAUUUAUUUUUCCAUAGAAAUAAUCCUCACCAUUUUGUAACCCUGCAUUGUAACAAAAAAUAGCUGACUUUUCCUGACUCUUCUCCAUGGCAAUGUAACAUUAGUUUUCAAGUUUCAUUUUAGAACAGAAUAUUUCUAGCAGGGCUAAGGAUCUGUGGCUUUCACAGAAGUAAUACCCAUGCAAGCCCAGAAGACCCCCACUGCCAUACAUUUCUGGCCAGCACCUUACAUAACUUCUGUGUUGGGAAAUGCUGCCUCAGCCUACUUUUUAUUGUUCCACAUUUUUUUCCUCUGUUGGUUGGAAAUCUUCCCAUGUGAAACAUGACAAAAACAAGGGGCAAGUGCAAUAGAACAUAUAUAUAUACAUAUAUAUAUUUUAAUACUUGUGGACAAAAUGAUGUUACAAGUUGUUUGAAAACAACAAAAUCACCAAUGUCUUCCAUUUUGAGAUGUGUAUAGUUCCAUAAGCAUUAGUGCUUUGUAGCAAACUGUAGUGCCAUGUUAGGAUCAGUGCAUGAGCCUAGUAGUAUUUUUACAAUUUGAGUGACAAAUUAUUAAUAAACAGUGAUAAUAAUGUAAUUAACAAUAGAAAGGAUACAAUAGAAAUGUCACAAACGUGGUCUAAACAUGCAGUAUCCUCCCUUUGACAAUGGCAACGCUAUCUUUAGAAAUGAAAUGCCUUUACCUAAUGGGCUUCAUAGAAUCAUAGUUGGCUUUGUGCUUUUAGUCUAUCUGUUCAACUGCAAUAGUAAGCUGCUGUAUGUAGGCAUCCAGGAUUCUCAUCUCUUAUUGGUGGGAUUCUUUUUAGUCUUUGUUUAAGGUGUUUUCUUCCAUGUGCAGCUUUUACAAUUUUAUUAUUACCCAUCCUGUUAUAGACUCAAAAGUAUGAAUAUGUUGAUGAGUUUAUGUGCAUUUUGUGCACAUCCCUGCUACUGUGAGAUCAUCUACAAUAUCCCUUAAGUGAUUUUUUUUCUUCACCUAUGACUAUAUAAUCGUUACAAUUAGUUAAACAUUAACCUCAUUAUAUAAUAAGUUGAUAUUUGCAAAAUGCUAUCUGCAUAAUAAAAGUAGAAGGCUUUUAUCCAUUAUUGCAGGAAUGGGGAACCUUUCUUGACUGAAGUCCUGUUGAAUCUUUUAGUACCUGUGGUGGAUCCUGCAUUUACACACAUCAUAAUAAAAGAGAUUGUAAUAAGGUCAAGGGCUGUUGAAAAACAGCACUGCAGACUGUAUCUGUGCAGCAGGCUAUCUCAAGCAUAUGGGUCAGAGAUUCCCCACCCCUGUAUUACUGAGAAAUCAAUAUCCUGUAUUUUAGGUAACUUCUAGUGUUGCUUUCCAGCUCUAAGCUCAAUUUUAGUAAUUUCUGUCUCUCCCUCUGCUUUUUUUUCAGAAGAAAAGUUUAGACCAGGGGAGGUCCAAAUGAUUUUGCUCUCAAUGGGCAGCUUGGACUGGUAUGAUUCCAGAUGUGCGAUGCUCUGUGGAUGGCAUCCUCUGAUUUCCUAGGAGAAAGUCUUUUAUUUGGUGACAGUAUUGCUCUUCACCCAUUUCUAUCUUUUACAAGAACAAAAUUCUCCUUCAACUUAGAGAGGAUACUGCAUUUUUUUUCCUGAGAUCUGCCUGUAAAUGGCCAUUGGGGGAGGGAGGGAAUGGGUAGCUUGGUUUUGAUAAGAUGUAUCUCUAAAGUGAUUAAUCAAGAAGCAUGUUCUUUGGUGCAAAAACAGUAACUGGGCAGAGUUAAUGUAUGUAACAGGGAAAGCAAACAAAUAGAAACCCCUAAACAACCCACCCUCUGCAUCUAAUUGAUUUCCAAGAAAAUUGGUCAGGGGGGCCAUUUACAGCAGCGCUCUGGGAACCUUUGCUGAAGAGUUAGGUUCAGUUUUCUGUGGAAGUAGCUGUACCAUUAAAUAUAGUAGUUUAGUGCUUGGGAGAAUCAAUUGAAAAAUACCUCUGAAACUGGAAUGCAAAAUAGCACAGUAUGUAGGGGGAAGAAUCCCUAAUGCAAACAAAGCCAUAAGAUGAUUUAAUAAGAAAAUAGAAUUUUAGUAGCAAUAACUGUUUUGCAUGUGAUAGUAAAUAACUUGCAUUAGCAAGACUGUACAGUAGAAUAAGUGGGUAAUAACCAAAUAAGUUUGUGGCGCUCUGUGCUGCAUGGAGUUGCGUGAAGAGUCUCUUCCUGAGAACAUGGGUGAAUUCCUCUUCUGUUCCUCUCAUUGGAGGGAAUUUAGCACUUGAAUACAUUGUUAAUGAACCUGAUAUAUAUAUAUAAACAAAAAAGCUCUGUGACAGAUCUGAAGCACUGCAGUGAGUGCUGGGGAAGAGCAGACAGUUCUUUUUGAGGGGAUAGCUGAAGUUUUCUUCUAGUUUUCUCUCUUUUGUAGCUUAGCACUUCUGUUUCUCUGAGAAGAAACUAAACCCUUCCAAAUACUAGAGUGUGAUGGGAACCUGAUUCUCAAGUUAAAAGCUUUUAUUGUGGGACGUACUUUUUGUUUUCUUUGCUUAAAAAGACCAAUCUGAGAUGGUUUUAAAUAAGAAAUUAGAGAACACUUGACACUCAAACCAUUUGUUACAGCCCCAGCACAACUGUAGAGGUCUAAAAAUGUUGCUUUACAGGAAAAUAAUUUUAGCCUUGCUAAACACUGUUUGAAACUGUAAUUGAUUUCUGUUGAUGCCUGAAGUUUUGCAGAGGCAAGUACUGUGGAGCCUCUGGUAAAGCAUUAUUAUCUACAGCUGUAGCCUCUGCACCCAGCAAAGUAUUUCCUAUCAAAGGGUUACAUAAAAGAGCCACAGGAGUUCUAAAAUGUUCAUAGUUGAUGCUGCUUUCAGUGCAGAGAGGUGCAGAGACAACAUGGCCUAACAGAUAGUAACUCUGUUCAGAACACAUUAUUACAUCAGAGGUUUGAAUCUGUCUGGCUGGAUUUCUUCUAGGAAGCUGAGGCAAUUUGAAGUCUAACUUCCAGCUGAAAGGAAGCUUCUAGUGUUCUGAAAUUAUGGAGGUGAAGCCCUUUGGCUCUUCAGAAGUUGAGAAUGGCACUGUGAGGGCUGUGAGCAUUUUUGCAGUAUAAAGUAACCAAAAUAAGCAUGAGAAUGUCGAAGUGUUGGAUAAUCUGGAAUAUCUGUAUGAAAAGCUAAUUGAUGUGGGAGGUUGUAAUCCACUCAAAUUCUAGCUAAUGAAUUAUUGAUCAAAUUGGCAGCUGCCCAUAGGGGACUUUAAUUUGAUUGUUAUCUGCUUACAUUAGAGAAAUUAUAAAUUUAUUCUGGACUGUGGUCAGCAAAUACAUUUCCAUAAUAAUGAAAACAUGGUCAUGCUCCUGCUUCAGAAGUAUGAACUUUGUGGCUGAAUAGAAUUCUAGGGUUUCUUCAUUCAGAGAAGCAUAAGGAGAGUGAGGUAAGAAAUCAAGACUGCUGUAGCCAGGCAAGCUAUUUGCAUAUUCUUCCCAGAUCAGCCUUAUUAUAGUGGUAUGUAGUCUGUUGUCUACUAGACUAGAAAUCGCUGUUCACAGCAGCAAAAAGAAUCCCUUUGCCUUUUGGCUCUUGUACUAUGGCAUGACUUUUGCUCCAACCCCUUUUAUUACACUGCUUCUAAAACUAAAUGAAAGUGUUAGAUGCAACCACGUUGCAGUGUGGGGUAUCAAAGGUGUAAUGACCAGCACUGAUACGCCUCUUCACAGAGCUAAACCCAGCUGAUUACAAGUACGUGCUGUUUCCACAUCCAUUAGUGCUGCCACAGAAGGUCUAGCCAGAACUUGUGUUGGGAAUUGCACCUUCAGGAAUUGCACCUUCUGCAAGUGAGGAUGAUUGUCAAAUUCAGGACAAAAAAAGUCUUGCAAAGGCUCCUUGAUAGUGAGUGAGAAGAAAUUUUACGGAGCUUCAGGACACUGACAUGUUACACAAGGGUUACGCUGUCAAGAGCUCACACUGGUUUUUGGGCAGGAAAAGGAAAAAUAUGGAAGAACAGUUUCUGAUGGAUAAUCAGGCUUGAAAAUAACUGCUUCCUGCAUCCCUAGGAAACUGUCUGGUCUUCCUCCAAAACCAAGGUUCCUGCUUGCUAUUCAGGUACAGAGCUGCAUAAUGGCAAUUCAGGUUAGAUUCCAUUUAAUUUCUUUUACUGAAUGAUCUAGCAUUGUGCCCCUGUAGUGCUUUGACUGGCAGACACACAAAGGCCAACAGUUGAACCAGGGUGUCUCAUUUAACAGUGCAGAACACCAACAAUGGAUUCUUAUGUCUCUUCCCUUUCAGUCUGCUCUAUACUUUCUCCUGAGUUUUGGAGAAGGUGUCAAUGUUCAUGAUGUGGGCAGGGUGUGUUUCUGUGUCUGAGCCUAUGUACCAGGUUGUAAUAUAGACAGGUUCCCUACAGCUUUACAACAUCUAAAGUUAAAGAUAAAAAGUAAUUUAUUGUUUAUUGUGUCCUAUGUAAAUCCUGUGUGCUUCUCUCCACUUCCCCUCCAAGUGAGUGUGCUUGCAGGUCAAAUUAAAGGUGUCUAGUUCGUAAUGCCUUGGGCAUGAAGAACUGCAUGGAGAAACUGAAGGCAAGUGGCACAGGCCCACAAACCAAAUCUUAGAGCUAGUAUUCUAAUUAUGCAUGAUUCAAAAUGUCUAGUGUAACGUAGUUAUUACCAGUAAAUUGAGAUAUGCAUUUAUACAUAAUGAAGCAAUAGGAAUUAAUAUACCAAUAGCUUGAACUUCUUGCUUUGGUUCUCAGACUUUGGGUUUUUUGGUUUUUAGAGAAUGUGCUGCCCUUGUAGAGAAAGGGGCAGAAUGUAUAGGUAGGGACAGAAGCAUGGCACCAAAACUGUAAAUCAGGAACUAGGAUCAGCAGAACUCGCCUUUAUAACCUCUAGUCUGGUUCAAAGUAGUGUCCUGAGCAUGUAAAAAGCAGGGCAUGGACUAAGCAUGUUUAGGGGCGAGAUGAGGUUUCUCACCUGCUGCAGCUGUAGCAAGGAAAAGGGUGCAGAGUUUCUUACAAUGUGCAGGGGGGAACAACUGGUGGGGGAAAAAACAAACAACAAGCAAACAAGUAAUGGAAAUCACAGAUUCGACUUGAGUGUAGUACUUACCAGAGAGUAGAUGAUAAACUUGCUUGUGGUGAGAGAAAUUAUUUGAAGACUGAAAUUAAUAAGCACAGUAUGUACAUUUCAGGUGUUGAAUAGCUUUUUAGUAGACAGUAUUUUCAGGUAACUCUCUAGCCACAUAGGCAGCUGUACUGAAGCGUACUGGUACCAGCCAGCAAUAAUGGCACCUGCAGGAAUGAACCCGAAAAUACUGGUAAUCUUCUUGUAUAGUUUUUAAGUUCUUUAAAGAGAUUUUUAAAAGCAGUAACUGCGAUUUGAGCACUGAAGGUCUUUCUCUUCUGCAACACAGGUUGCAAUAGUGUUGUUUUUCCUUUAUUUCACUUACUAAAUAAAAGGGAAUUUGGGUGCCAUCUUUCUGUAGGCUUUUAGUGUGUUCUCUGAAAUACUUCUCAGGUCCUUCAGUGGACAGUGAAGUGAAUUUCUGCUGGCAGUUUGAAAAUAACCUAGAAGUGUGGCAUAGCCUAUGUCACUAAUACUUUUCCAAGUUUAACCUUGUGUUCAGACAUGUAGAAUACUAGCUUUUAGUGCCGAUUUCCAUACUUCUAGCUUAGCUUAGUUUUGUAGGUGGGCUUAACUUGUGCAGAAUACUUCUCCAUGUACAGGGGCACAAUCCUCUGAAAUAGAAAGUGUCUUGGAGGAAGAAAUUGUGUGUCAAGUUAACUCCUGUUCAUGCUUCAUAGCCAACCAUCCACAAAGCACCGUGAUUUGGGUUAGAAUGGGGGUUGUGUUUUUCUCAUGAAUGCUCUUUUUAGACUUAGAAGAAUUGCCAAAUGAAGCUAGGAGUGUUCUAAGAGAAGAUGACUUUUAUGGUGUCGGAAGUUAGACUAAAUGAAAUCCUUUGAGCCAACUUCUUCAAGCAAAAAGGGAAUUUGUAGAACAAGUUUAGCUCAGUGGUUAACCAUGGUCACCUAGUUCUUAGUGGGUAUUUUUUAGAACACUUUGCAUGCUUUUAAACUUUCAUGUUUUCUUUGGUGUGGUGAGUAAGCAGUUGUAUCCUUUGUUAAUGCUUAUUCCCCUCAAUAUAAAACCUGGGAAUAAGCUACUUUAGGAUGUCAGUGAAGAUGAUCUCCUUUUCAAAAGCAUGGUACAACAGCAAAGGAGAAGUAUUAGUGUUAGAUUCUUAAAGAUUACUUUAGUACUUAAAGAACAAACUAGAAAAUACUUCUUAUGUUGAACUUCUGAUGCUGUGCUCACAUGGGUCAGUAAUUAUUGGUGUCACUAGGAACUAUGUAUUCCCGUUGCACAUGUUUUACAUGGUAACAGUGAAAGAAUGUCUCCCUGCAAAAUCUGAUGUUUUUCCAAAAGGCAGCUUGCUUUUAUAUCUAUGCAUCUUUGAGGAUUUCAAGAUAAGAUUUUAUUCUUUUGACACUGUAAAGAGGAACUGUUUAAAAAUGAACUUGGAAACUCUGCACCUGUAUACAAAUUUUUUAGCAAUAAAGCAGCACAGGCUGAGAAUGCACUAAAAA